AACACAAUGUAAGCUUGGGGUUUCCCUGACUAAAUAAUUAGCGAAUAUUUGAACACCAGACCUGUAUGAGAGCAGGCUACUAGCUAUAAAUUUUCUGUAAAGAGAAUUAUUAAUAUUUUCCCCUGUAGUCACCUUGAAAAUUACCAAUUUCUUGGUAAGAUCUAUUUUUUAGUGGAUUUUUUUUCUACCCCAUAUCAUCACUAUCGGGGUACUCUCUUCAAGGGUCUAGGCCUGUUGGAAGAGUCUUAAGUUCACAACUUAAACUGAAGAUUCUCAGACUAAUUCUUUAAUGGAUAAGGACAGAUCAUUGGAAUAAACUAUGAAAGGGUGUCUUUCUGCAUUUCUGAAGCGGUCCCUGUAAGACUAAAAUUUGUAUUCCUCAAUAAUUGAAUUGAACUUG
rnacentral:lncRNA from 10 species